AGAGCUGCAUGAGAUCUUGGAGUAACCACUUCUCAUUACCAUGCUUGAACGUCAGGUGAAGUGAAGGCAGGAGACAGGUGAGUCGGUUACUCUCGGGUCACCCUGGAUGGACCUGGACGAUCAUGGAUCAGAGAAAAUGCCUCUUCCCAUGGGCCACUCAGAUUCUCACUUUGCAUUUCCAUUACUACUUAAGGAGAUUCCUUCCUGGAGACACUGUACUGACCUGGCUUUCCCUACCUGUUCUCCUGGACUUCCCAGGAAUAACUGGAGAAUGCUACAGGGAUGUGGCAUCAUCCUGGGGAUAAGGAGGGGCUGGCCAGUAGACUGGUGUGUGUUCUAGAGAUUUCUAGAAGCAGGGUGCUGUUGAUGCUUUAGUUUUGUAGUCAUGUUAUCUGGGGCAUAAAAUCUAGAGGGAAUGGCUUUCUAGACUCAUCAGCUGUGAAAGCAGUAGGACAUAUGCAGAGUAAAAUCAUUCACUCUGGAAACUCUUCCUAACCUUGGGACCUGGCUGGCAAGACUUCUGCUGUUCCUGGUUGUUGCCUGUCUGUAAGCAAAAUGACGCUGGUUUGUUUCGCUGGGGUAUGGGCAUAUUCUCUCUCACUAGACCCAGGAAGGUGAUAACUGGGAGACAUCAAGUUUGCUUCAUACCUACUGUUUUCUUCUGC
rnacentral:lncRNA from 1 species